AGCGAACGCUGGCGGCAGGCUUAACACAUGCAAGUCGAACGGGCGUAGCAAUACGUCAGUGGCAGACGGGUGAGUAACGCGUGGGAACGUACCUUUUGGUUCGGAACAACACAGGGAAACUUGUGCUAAUACCGGAUAAGCCCUUACGGGGAAAGAUUUAUCGCCGAAAGAUCGGCCCGCGUCUGAUUAGCUAGUUGGUGAGGUAACGGCUCACCAAGGCGACGAUCAGUAGCUGGUCUGAGAGGAUGAUCAGCCACAUUGGGACUGAGACACGGCCCAAACUCCUACGGGAGGCAGCAGUGAGGAAUAUUGGUCAAUGGGCGGAAGCCUGAACCAGCCAUGCCGCGUGCAGGAUGACGGCCCUACGGGUUGUAAACUGCUUUUCCCCGGGGCGAAUAACCCCCUCGCGAGGGGGAGUGCCGGUACCGGGGAAGUAAGGAGUACGGCGUAACUCCGUGCCAGCAGCCGCGGUAAACGUAGACGUG
rnacentral:rRNA from 1 species